ACGGCACUCGCAGUUUUCUCAACACUCAAGACGUAGCGUUGAGGACCUGUAGAGUUCCGUUC
rnacentral:pre_miRNA from 1 species